rnacentral:rRNA from 1 species
AAACUCGGAGAUAGCUGGUUCUCCGCGAAAUCUAUUUAGGUAGAGCGUCAUCCGAAUACCCCGGGGGGUAGAGCACUGGAUGGGUAAUGGGGCCCCACAGGCUUACUGAUCCUAACCAAACUCCGAAUACCCGGGAGUAAUAGAUGGCAGACACACUGCGGGUGCUAACGCCCGUAGUGAAAAGGGAAACAACCCUGACCGACAGUUAAGGCCCCUAAUUCAUGGCUAAGUGGAAAAGCAGGUGAGACGACCAUAACAACCAGGAAGUUGGCUUAGAAGCAGCCAUCUUUUAAAGAUAGCGUAACAGCUCACUGGUCUAAUUUAAGUUAUCCUGCGGCGAAGAUGUACCGGGGCUCAAGCCAUGAGCCGAAGCUAGGGAUGCAAUUUAUUGCAUGGUAGCGGAGCGUUCUGUGAUAUAGAACGCUGCGUCUUUAGUAUCUUAGGAUAUUGUGGACGCAAUGUUCUGACUGUGAAGCCGGCGCGUAAGCGAUCCGGUGGAGUGAUCAGAAGUGAGAAUGUUGACAUGAGUAGCGACAAACAGGGUGAGAGACCCUGUCGCCGAAAGUCCAAGGGUUCCUGCUUAAAGCUAAUCUGAGCAGGGUAAGCCGACCCCUAAGGCGAGGCCGAAAGGCGUAGUCGAUGGGAACCAGUUUAAUAUUACUGGGCCAGGAGAUGGUGACGGAUCGAAAGCGUAGUGACUCCUUAUCGGAUUGAAGUUGCUGCCGGACGGUUCCUGGAAAUAGCCCUCCAUUAGAUCGUACCCUAAACCAACACAGGUGGACUGGUAGAGUAUACCAAGGCGCUUGAGAGAACUACAUUGAAGGAACUCGGCAAAAUGCCUCCGUAAGUUCGCGAGAAGGAGGCCCCAUCAGAAGGCAACUUUUGGUGGGGGGCACAGACCAGGGGGUGGCGACUGUUUACUAAAAACACAGGGCUCUGCGAAGUCGUAAGACGACGUAUAGGGUCUGACGCCUGCCCGGUGCCUGAAGGUUAAAAGGAGGGGUGAGAGCUCCGAAUUGAAGCCCAGGUAAACGGCGGCCGUAACUAUAACGGUCCUAAGGUAGCGAAAUUCCUUGUCGGGUAAGUUCCGACCUGCACGAAUGGCGUAACGACUUCCCCGCUGUCUCCAACAUAGACUCAGUGAAAUUGAAUUGCCUGUCAAGAUGCAGGCUUCCCGCGGUUAGACGGAAAGACCCCGUGCACCUUUACUACAACUUUACACUGAUAACAGGCACAACAUGUGCAGAAUAGGUGGUAGGCUUUGAAGCAGGGACGCCAGUCCUUGUGGAGCCUCCUUUGAGAUACCACCCUUAUUUUUCUUGUUAUCUAACUGCGGUCCGUUAUCCGGAUCCAGGACCCUGUAUGGUGGGUAGUUUGACUGGGGCGGUCGCCUCCUAAAGCGUAACGGAGGCGCGCGAAGGUUGGCUCAGAGCGGUCGGAAAUCGCUCGUUGAGUGCAAUGGCAGAAGCCAGCCUGACUGCGAGACUGACAAGUCGAGCAGAGUCGAAAGACGGCCAUAGUGAUCCGGUGGUCCCGAGUGGAAGGGCCAUCGCUCAACGGAUAAAAGGUACGCCGGGGAUAACAGGCUGAUACUGCCCAAGAGUCCAUAUCGACGGCAGUGUUUGGCACCUCGAUGUCGGCUCAUCUCAUCCUGGGGCUGGAGCAGGUCCCAAGGGUACGGCUGUUCGCCGUUUAAAGAGGUACGUGAGCUGGGUUUAGAACGUCGUGAGACAGUUCGGUCCCUAUCUGCCGUGGGUGUAGGAUACUUGAGAGGAGUUGCCCCUAGUACGAGAGGACCGGGGUGAACGAUCCACUGGUGGACCAGUUGUCGACUACGGCAGUGCUGGGUAGCUAUGAUCGGACAGGAUAACCGCUGAAAGCAUCUAAGCGGGAAGCCCCCCUCAAAACAAGGUAUCCCUGAGGACCGAGGUAGACCACCUCGUCGAUAGGCCAGAGGUGUAAGCGUGGUAACACGUUCAGCUGACUGGUACUAAUGGUCCGAUAGGCUUGAUU